rnacentral:rRNA from 1 species
UACGAAGGGGGCUAGCGUUGCUCGGAAUCACUGGGCGUAAAGCGCACGUAGGCGGCUUUUUAAGUCAGGGGUGAAAUCCUGGAGCUCAACUCCAGAACUGCCUUUGAUACUGAGAAGCUCGAGUCCGGGAGAGGUGAGUGGAACUGCGAGUGUAGAGGUGAAAUUCGUAGAUAUUCGCAAGAACACCAGUGGCGAAGGCGGCUCACUGGCCCGGUACUGACGCUGAGGCACGAAAGCGUGGGGAGCAAACAGG